GUCCCUUUGGCGCAGCGGAUAGCGCGUUGGAAUGAAAAUCCAAAGGUCGUGGGUUCGAUCCCCGCAAGGUAUG